UACCCGCAGCACAAGUGGUGGUCAUUAUUAUUGGGCCUAAAGCGUCCGUAGCUGGCUUGUUAGAUGCCUGGGUAAAUCGAUGCGCUCAACGCAUCGAACUUCGGGUAGACCGGCAAGCUUGGGACCGGGAGAGGCGUGAGCUACUCGAGGGGUAGGGGUAAAAUCCUGUAAUCCUUCGGGGAGGACCAGUGGCGAAGGCGUCACGCUAGAACGGCUCCGACAGUGAGGGACGAAGCCCUGGGGCGCAAACCGG
rnacentral:rRNA from 1 species